CUGGCGGCGUGCUUAAACAUGCAAGUCGAGCGGAAAGGCCCCUUCGGGGGUACUCGAGCGGCGAACGGGUGAGUAACACGUGAGUAAUCUGCCCUCCACUUCGGGAUAGCCCUCCGAAAGGGGGAUUAAUACCGGAUGGGCACCACGGACCGCGUGGUGUGUGGUGGAAAGUUUUUCGGUGGGGGAUGAGCUCGCGGCCUAUCAGCUUGUUGGUGAGGUGAUGGCUCACCAAGGCUUCGACGGGUAGCCGGCCUGAGAGGGUGACCGGCCACACUGGGACUGAGACACGGCCCAGACUCCUACGGGAGGCAGCAGUGGGGAAUAUUGGACAAUGGGCGGAAGCCUGAUCCAGCAACGCCGCGUGAGGGAUGACGGCCUUCGGGUUGUAAACCUCUUUCAGCACCGACGAAGCGUGAGUGACGGUAGGUGCAGAAGAAGGACCGGCCAACUACGUGCCAGCAGCCGCGGUAAUACGUAGGGUCCGAGCGUUGUCCGGAAUUAUUGGGCGUAAAGAGCUCGUAGGCGGUGUGUCGCGUCGGGAGUGAAAACCCAGGGCUUAACUCUGGGCUGGCUUCCGAUACGGGCACACUAGAGGUAUGCAGGGGAGAACGGAAUUCCUGGUGUAGCGGUGAAAUGCGCAGAUAUCAGGAGGAACACCGGUGGCGAAGGCGGUUCUCUGGGCAUGACCUGACGCUGAGGAGCGAAAGUGUGGGGAGCGAACAGGAUUAGAUACCCUGGUAGUCCACACCGUAAACGUUGGGCGCUAGGUGUGGGAUCCAUUCCACGGGUUCCGUGCCGUAGCUAACGCAUUAAGCGCCCCGCCUGGGGAGUACGGCCGCAAGGCUAAAACUCAAAUGAAUUGACGG
rnacentral:rRNA from 1 species